rnacentral:rRNA from 1 species
AUGAACGCUAGCGGCAGGCUUAAUACAUGCAAGUUGAGGGGCAGCAUGAUAUACGCGAGUAUAUUGAUGGCGACCGGCGGACGGGUGAGUAAUAGGUAGGAGACCUACCUCAUACAGGGGGAUAGCAUAGAGAAAUCUGUGGUAAUACCCCAUGAGGUUAUAUGAAUAGAGGCAUAUAAUCAAAGCAUAAGCGAUUAGUGCGGUAUGAGAGGGGCCUACUGACCAUUAGCUAGUUGGUGAGGUAAGGGCUCACCAAGGCGAAGAUGGUUAGGGGUUUUGAGAGAGAGACCCCCCCACAUUGGAACUGAGAGACGGUCCAGACUCCUACGGGAGGCAGCAGUAGGGAAUAUUGGGCAAUGGGCGAAAGCCUGACCCAGCCAUGCCGCGUGAAGGAAGACGGCCUUAUGGGUUGUAAACUUCUUUACUACGCGAAUAGAGGUUAGUACGAGAUACUAAUAGGAGGGUAGUGUAGUAAAAAGCACCGGCUAACUCCGUG